rnacentral:rRNA from 1 species
UGCAAGAAUUCGCCCUUAGAGUUUGAUCAUGGCUCAGGACGAACGCUGGCGGCGCGCUUAACACAUGCGAGUUGAACGCUCCGCCCUCUUCUGCCCUUCGGGGCAGAAGAGGAUUACGGAGAGUAGCGGACGGGUGAGUAACGCGUAGGUAACCUGCCCUGGAGAGGAGGAUAACCCUGCUAAAGCGGGGCUAAUCCUCCAUAUGUUAGGGGAUCGUAAGAUGCCUUAAUGAAAGGCGGCAUUAAGCCGUCGCUUCAGGAUGGGCCUGCGUCGGAUUAGCCAGCUGGUAGGGUAAAGGCCUACCAGGGCGACAAUCCGUAGCUGGUCUGAGAGGACGAUCAGCCACACUGGGACUGAGACACGGCCCAGACUCCUACGGGAGGCAGCAGUGGGGAAUCUUCCGCAAUGGGCGCAAGCCUGACGGAGCGACGCCGCGUGGGUGAAGAAGGCCUUCGGGUCGUAAAGCCCUGUCAGUGGGGAAGAAAGCAGACAUCAAGAAAAGGGUGUUUGUUGACGGUACCCGCAGAGGAAGCCCUGGCCAACUACGUGCCAGCAGCCGCGGUAACACGUAGAGGGCAAGCGUUGUCCGGAAUUACUGGGCGUAAAGGGCGCGCAGGCGGCAAGGCAAGUCGGGUGUGAAAACCUGGGGCUUAACCCCAGGCGUGCAUUCGAAACUGUCUUGCUUGAGGACAGCAGAGGGAAACGGAAUUCCUGGUGUAGUGGUGAAAUACGUAGAUAUCAGGAGGAACACCAGUGGCGAAAGCGGUUUCCUGGGCUGAUCCUGACGCUGAGGCGCGAAAGCCGGGGGAGCGAACGGGAUU